rnacentral:rRNA from 1 species
UACAGAGGGUGCAAGCGUUGUUCGGAAUUAUUGGGCGUAAAGGGCGCGUAGGCGGCGCUGUAAGUCUGUAGUGAAAUCUCUGGGCUCAACUCAGAGUCUGCUAUAGAAACUGCAGUGCUGGAGUGUGGGAGAGGUGAGUGGAAUUCCCGGUGUAGCGGUGAAAUGCGUAGAUAUCAUUUGGAACGCCAAUGGUGAAAACAGCUCGCUGGGAAUGAUCUGACACUGAGACGCGAAAGCCAGGGGAGCGAACGGG